rnacentral:rRNA from 1 species
GACAGAGGGUGCAAACGUUUGUUCGGAAUUACUGGGCGUAAAGCGAGUGUAGGCGGUUUGGUAAGUCGGAUGUGAAAGCCCCGGGCUCAACCCGGGAAGUGCACUCGAUACUGCCAAGCUAGAGUAUCGGAGAGGUUGGUGGAAUUCUCGGUGUAGAGGUGAAAUUCGUAGAUAUCGAGAGGAACACCGGUGGCGAAGGCGGCCAACUGGACGAAUACUGACGCUGAAGAACGAAAGCUAGGGGGAGCAAACAGG